rnacentral:rRNA from 1 species
GACAGAGGAUGGCAAGCGUUAUCCGGAAUGAUUGGGCGUAAAGGCGUCUGUAGGUGGCUUUUUAAGUCCGCCGUCAAAUCCCAGGGCUCAACCCCGUGGACAGGCGGUGGAAACUACCAAGCUGGAGUACGGUAGGGGCAGAGGGAAUUUCCGGUGGAGCGGUGAAAUGCGUAGAGAGUCGGAAAGACACCAACGGCGAA